AAACGGCUACCACAUCCAAGGAAGGCAGCAGGCGCGAAAAUUACCCACUCCCGGCACGGGGAGGUAGUGACGAAAAAUACGAAUACGGGACUCACUCGAGGCUCCGUAAUUCGAAUGAGUACAAUCUAAAUCCUUUAACGAGGACCAAUUGGAGGGCAAGUCUGGUGCCAGCAGCCGCGGUAACUCCAGCUCCAAAAGCGUAUAUUAAAGUUGCUGCAGUUAAAAAGCUCGUAGUUGGAUCUGGGUCGCGCGUUCACGUGUCGUUGCUUGGUUCUGGCUUCGGUCAGUUCUAUGUGAUGAUGAGGUGGUCGUGCAGCCUUUCAGCCGUGUCUGCGUGAGCAGGUGUUGAUUAGUCGGUGGGCUUGCUCGCUGGCUAGUUGGCAUGUUUCUUGAUGCCUUUAAACGGGUGUCGGGGGCGUACGGCACUUUUACUUUGAACAAAUUUGAGUGCUCAAAGCAGGCCCAUGUGCCUGAAAAGUCUUGCAUGGAAUAAUGGAAUAGGACUUCGGUUCUAUUUUGUUGGUUUCCGGAUCCGAAGUAAUGGUUAAGAGGAACAGACGGGGGCAUUUGUAUGGCGGCGUGAGAGGUGAAAUUCUAUGAUCGUCGCCAGACAAACUACAGCGAAAGCAUUUGCCAAGAAUGUUUUCAUUGAUCAGGAGCGAAAGUCAGAGGUUCGAAGACGAUCAGAUACCGUCCUAGUUCUGACCAUAAACGAUGCCAACUGACGAUCCGCGGCGGUUCUUUCGUUUGGCCCCGCGGGCAGUCCCCGGGAAACCCUUAAGUCUUUGGGCUCCGGGGGAAGUAUGGUUGCAAAGCUGAAACUUAAAGGAAUUGACGGAAGGGCACCACCAGGAGUGGAGCCUGCGGCUUAAUUCGACUCAACACGGGAAAACUCACCCGGCCCGGACACUGUGAGGAUUGACAGAUUGAUAGCUCUUUCUUGAUUCGGUGGUUGGUGGUGCAUGGCCGUUCUUAGUUGGUGGAGCGAUUUGUCUGGUUAAUUCCGAUAACGAACGAGACUUUGACCUACUAAUUAGUAUGCCUAUCCUCUGUGCUCGUGCAGGGCUCGGUUGCAGUUGCCUCCUUGUGGGGUGAUGUGGCCGUGGACCGGCGGGUACGGCGUGGUGCUUACUUCUUAGAGGGACAAGCGGCGCUGAAAAGUCGCACGAAAUUGAGCAAUAACAGGUCUGUGAUGCCCUUAGAUGUCCGGGGCCGCACGUGCGCUACAAUGACGGUGCCAGCGAGCAUGGAAACCUGGCCUGAAAGGGCUGGGCAAACUUUUCAUCACCGUCGUGACUGGGAUCGGGGCUUGCAAUUAUUCCCCGUGAACGAGGAAUUCCUAGUAAGUGCAAGUCAUAAGCUUGCGCUGAUUACGUCCCUGCCCUUUGUACACACCGCCCGUCGCUACUACCGAUUGAAUGGUCAAGC
rnacentral:rRNA from 1 species